GACGAACGCUGGCGGCGCGCUUAAUACAUGCAAGUCGAGCGAGAACCGGAGCUUCGGCUCCGGGGACAGCGGCGAACGGGUGAGUAACACGUGGGUAACCUGCCCUCGGCACCGGGAUAGCCCGGGGAAACCCGGAUUAAUACCUGAUGGCCCUUUCGGUCUUCGGACCGGUCGGCAAAGGUAGCUUCGGCCUCCGGCCGAGGAUGGGCCCGCGGCGGAUUAGCUUGUUGGUGAGGUAACGGCUCACCAAGGCUCCGAUCCGUAGCUGGUCUGAGAGGACGAUCAGCCACACUGGGACGGAGACACGGCCCAGACUCCUACGGGAGGCAGCAGUAGGGAAUCUUGCGCAAUGGGCGAAAGCCUGAUGCAGCGACGCCGCGUGCGGGAAGACGGCCUUCGGGUUGUAAACCGCUUUCAGGAGGGACGAAGCCACUCGGGUGGAUAGCCCAGAGGGUGACGGUACCUCCAGAAGAAGCCCCGGCUAACUACGUGCCAGCCGCCGCAGUAA
rnacentral:rRNA from 1 species